rnacentral:rRNA from 1 species
GGGGAAUAUUGCACAAUGGGCGCAAGCCUGAUGCAGCGACGCCACGUGGGGGAUGACGGCCUUCGGGUUGUAAACUCCUUUCAACCAUGACGAAGCUUUCGGGUGACGGUAGUGGUAGAAGAAGCACCGGCUAACUACGUGCCAGCAGCCGCGGUAAUACGGAGGGUGCGAGCGUUGUCCGGAAUUACUGGGCGUAAAGAGCUCGUAGGUGGUUUGUCGCGUCGUCUGUGAAAUUCCGGGGCUUAACGCCGGGCGUGCAGGCGAUACGGGCAUAACUUGAGUGCUGUAGGGGAGACUGGAAUUCCUGGUGUAGCGGUGAAAUGCGCAGAUAUCAGGAGGAACACCGAUGGCGAAGGCAGGUCUCUGGGCAGUAACUGACGCUGAGGAGCGAAAGCAUGGGUAGCGAAC